AAGGAUCAGCGACUUAAACGGAGGGGGUUCAGUAUUUCCAAACUUGAGGAAUAUGAUAAGCUUGCAAAGAUUAAUGCUCAGGAGCUGUAACUUAUCUGGACCUAUUCCUUCUGAUUUAUCAGCAAUGUCACAGUUGAAAACAUUAGAUCUAAGCUUCAACAGAUUGGAGGGGAGCAUUCCUGAUUUGGCAGAUCUAACACCCUUGCA